rnacentral:rRNA from 1 species
GAACGCUGGCGGCGUGCCUAACACAUGCAAGUCGAACGAGAACCCAUUCUUCGGAUUGGGGGACAGUGGCGAACGGGUGAGUAACACGUUGGUGACCUGCCCCGAAGCGGGGGAUAAUCCUGCGAAAGCGGGACUAAUACCGCAUGUGCUCCAGGGGGUUAGAGGCCCCUGGAGUAAAGCUCCGGCGCUUCGGGAGGGGCCUGCGGCCUAUCAGCUAGUUGGUGGGGUAAUGGCUCACCAAGGCUAAGACGGGUAGGGGGCGUGAGAGCGUGGCCCCCCACAAUGGAACUGAGACACGGUCCAUACUCCUACGGGAGGCAGCAGUGAGGAAUAUUGCGCAAUGGGGGCAACCCUGACGCAGCAACGCCGCGUGGGUGAUGAAGGCCUUCGGGUUGUAAAACCCUUUUCUGGGGGACGAGACAGGACGGUACCCCAGGAAUAAGUCCCGGCUAACUACGUGCCAGCAGCCGCGGUAAAACGUAGGGGGCAAGCGUUAUCCGGAUUUACUGGGCGUAAAGCGCGUGCAGGCGGCUUGGUAGGUUGGACGUGAAAGCUCCUGGCUCAACUGGGAGAGGCCGUUCAAUAC